UUUAUCAGAAAGCGAAAACUAAAACCCGCCACCAUUUAAUUUAAAAGAAAAGGAGGAAAUUCAAUAAUUCUCUAAGAAGAUGAGUCUCCACCAAAUGGCCGUCUCUCACCCUUUUCUUUUAUCUUGUCACUCUGCGUACAAUCUAAACCCUCUUUUCUUCUCCAAACGCAGUCGUUUUCGCUUCCCCCUUUCUCACUCUUGUUCCACCUCCAUAAACCGUCGGAGCUUUACUGUUGCUGCAUCAGAGAAGGGCAUUUCACUUCUCUGGAGCUGGCAAAGUCGUUUGAUUUCACUUCCGAGGAGAGGAUAUACAAUUGGUGGCAUUCUCAAGGCUAUUUCAGACCGAAAUUUGACAGGGGAAGUGAUCCAUUUGUCAUAUCAAUGCCACCUCCUAAUGUUCCUGGCUCUCUGCAUAUGGGACAUGCAAUGUUUGUGACUCUUGAGGAUUUCAUGGUUAGGUACGGAAGAUCAACACUUUGGCUUCCUGGAACUGAUCAUGCCGGUAUUGCAACUCAGUUGGUUGCGGAAAGAAUGUUGACUUCUGAAGGAAUAAAAAGGGUAGAACUGGGUAGAGAUGAAUUUGCAAAACAAGUUUGGAAGUGGAAAGAGAAGUAUGGUGGGACCAUUACUAAUCAGAUUAAGAGACUUGGGGCUUCUUGUGACUGGACUAGGGAAUGUUUCACCCUUGAUGAGCAGCUAAGUCGAGCUGUUAUUGAGGCUUUUGUUAGACUUCAUGAGAAAGGAUUAAUUUAUCAAGGAAGUAGAAUAUUCUGAAGAGCCUGGCACCCUCUAUCAUAUCAAGUAUCGAGUCGCUGGAGGUUCAAGGAGUGGUUUCUUAACAAUAGGAACCACAUGACCUGAAACUUUAUUUGGUGAUGUAGCAAUUACUGUGAAUCCUAAGGAUGAGCGUUAUUCCAAAUAUGUUGGUAAAAUGGCUAUUGUUCCUAUGACUUAUGGUCGUCAUGUUCCUAUUAUCUUUGAUAAGGUA